UAUCCAGAGUGGUGCGGAUUUGGUCGGGU
rnacentral:sRNA from 1 species